CUUCUUCUUCUUCUUCUUUUUUAAGCUUUUGAAUGUUGACUUGUUCAUUCAUUUAAAUGUUCACUUGAGAUUUGGAUAUUUGUGGGACUAUGAUAUCUGUAAUAGAAUAUAUACAGAGGGUGUCUUCUUAUUCUUCUUCCUCCUCUUAUUUCUCCUCUUAGAAGUCAUUCAGUUUCUUUGGAUCACAGAUAGGAAUAGCUAAAAUCACUCUAGUGGCACUGGUUAAACUGUUUACUAACUAUGCAGCACUUUACAAGAAUUUGGAAAUUUUCUUCAUGUCAAUUUACUUCAAAAUUUGUUCAUUAAUAGCUUGAAAAAGGAAGCUCAAUAAUGCUAAUUAUUGAGGUGCUAAAUUCUGCUUCCUUAUUGCAGUAAAUAUGGACAUAC
rnacentral:misc_RNA from 1 species